CAACAAUCACCACCUUUAUCCUACCGGAGGGGGGUCAACGCCACUGAAUGACAGUUAUACCUGACCUUGUACUAGCUCUCAAAUAGGUGAGUAGGAAUACUACUGCUGUAAAGUCCCCAUUUGCGUGCUUGAAACAAACUACACUAUUUGAGUUUUUUCCAUUUGCAUGCUAAGAAGUUUCUACUAUCUCACAAAUACAGAUCCACAUCUUAUCCAAGUACCUCAAACAAGUUGGACAUUCUUUUUAACAUCUUAUAAUCUGGACUAUACUAUAUUUCGAUUUGGCUUUUGUAUGCAAGUAUAUUUUUGGUAUUAUACUAUUUUAUUGAUUUUACUGUGGUGCGACCUAAUUUCAUAUUUUAUUAUAUACCAUCUUUAUGUGGAGCAACAAUUCUUUUUUUCAGAACAUCUGAGGUUGCCAUGAGGUGCCAUGUUGAACUGCCAGUGACCAUUAUGAGAGAGUGUGAGAGCGAUAACACCAAAUUUAACACACCUUCUCCCCAUUCACACCUGAGACCUUGUAACACUAACAAGACACAUGACACCA